rnacentral:tRNA from 1 species
CAGAAAGUAGUUUAGGUAAAAAUGCCAGCUUUGGGAGUUGGUGACGGAGGUUUGAUCCCUUUCUUUCUGA